rnacentral:lncRNA from 1 species
CCACAACAAACUUAAACAUCCAGUUCCUCUGAACUUAGCCUUCAAAUUCACAUUGCUUUGGAUACUCCCGUAUCUACAACCAAAAUAUGCAACUUGAUACCACACGUAUCAGAAGCUAACACCAAGCAUAAUGUCGACCAUCGACUUAGCCAACCUGCUUUGAUACCAAUUGUCACAGGGUGAGUAUUUUUUUACCCAAACACCCGUGCGGCGCCCC